GUCUGGUUAUAGUCAUGCAUAAGUUAUUCAUUUUAGUUAUUAUUUUGAAGCCCAAGAACAGUUAGUUUAUGCCUCUAAAAUGUAUCCUUUGUCUAGACACCUCUGAGGACCUCAAGCGGGAUAUAUGCUUCUGAAUAUUACUGAAGUGGUUCAAGCAGCAAAUCUGGAUAUUCUAAGGUGGGGAAAGAACAUUGCUUCAUCUAAAACACGAACUACAAAACGUGCUGGUGUAGCAGUUUAUUACAGAUCUUCAUCUUUGGAAACACUGGGAGUCGAUUGGAAGAAAGUCAGCACGACCUUAAUUAAGGUUUGUAACGCAUGAUCUAAAGGGAGCUAAGUGGCCGGAUUAGAGAAAUUUGUUAGACUAGCUCUCUAGCCUUUUGUCUUUAUUUGUUAAUAUUAGUUUUAAUUUGUUAGACUAGCUAGCUAGGUGUUUAAAAAUUGUAAACGUACGUACUAUACGCUUUUCUCUAUUGGGUUAAUAUAAAUGAAGUUAAUUUAA